rnacentral:ncRNA from 1 species
CAGAUAGCAACAUUCCUGAUUACCAAGCCGGUUAUGAGAAAGCUCUUACAAUAGCAACCUCAGCUCAGUCGGGGGCAAACUUAAU